UCCAGACUCCUACGGGAGGCAGCAGUGAGGAAUAUUGGUCAAUGGCCGAGAGGCUGAACCAGCCAAGUCGCGUGAGGGAAGACGGCCCUACGGGUUGUAAACCUCUUUUGUCGGGGAGCAAAGCGAACCACGUGUGGUUCAUUGAGAGUACCCGAAGAAAAAGCAUCGGCUAACUCCGUGCCAGCAGCCGCGGUAAUACGGAGGAUGCGAGCGUUAUCCGGAUUUAUUGGGUUUAAAGGGUGCGUAGGCGGGCAUUUAAGCCGGCGGUCAAAUGUCGGGGCUCAACCCCGUACUGCCGUUGAAACUGCAUCCCUUGAGUGCGCGAGAAGUAUGCGGAAUGCGUGGUGUAGCGGUGAAAUGCAUAGAUAUCACGCAGAACUCCGAUUGCGAAGGCAGCAUACCGGCGCGCAACUGACGCUCAUGCACGAAAGCGUGGGUAUCGAACAGGAUUAGAUACUCUUGUA
rnacentral:rRNA from 1 species